CUGGGAGGAGGACCUGCUGCCUGAGGAGAGGGAGGUUCCUCUGCUAAAGUGAGUUCCUCUAAAUGUCUGUGUAGUCUGAGCUUGUCAGAUGCGGAAGGAUAGUGGUCAUAAUGCUGUUAUCCCCCAUUGACUCUAAUGGUUGACAUGCUCCAUUCCCUCCCUUUCACAGCCUCUACCUUACCACCAAGAGAGUGGAGGACAUCGCCCUGAGGCUCGUCUCCCUGCGCCAGGCCUUCACUACCCUGCUUGGUUCCACCCUGAGCAGGAACCAUCUGUUUGUGGCGGGAAAGGUCCUCCUGGGCGGCCUUGGUUCAGGCCAACCACAUGGACGAGGCCAAAUUCAUUCGUACCUAUAACGACUUUGUGGACUACCUGAGUGACCCCUCCAAGCGGAAUGACAUUGAGAGGGAGCUGGCUGAGGCAAAGGUGAGUUCAUUAACUCUUUCAAGUCUCACUGAGUUCUUCCACAUGCAUGUCUUUUAUACAUCACAGUAGCUGAUAUUUA
rnacentral:lncRNA from 1 species